rnacentral:snRNA from 1 species
GUCCAGAACUUCCUGUUAUU